CUGAUUGUCUUGGCCCAGGAGAGGCUUAGGGAACAGAGCUUUGAGAAACAGCCCCCAGCUCUGGUUCCUGCAGUGUGGCUUCCAGCACUGAAGCCAGAACAACUGAAGGGAAAGGGCUCCAGGCUCAGGCAGGCACUGUCUUCUGGAUGGUUCUUGGAGGUGGAUCUGUAGAGUCAGGCAACCCAGCUGGGAACGUGGUUCCACCACUGCCUGGCUGGGUGGCCUGGGGCAGGAGGCUUCAAUUCUCUGGCCUCAGUCUCCACAUCUGUAAAAAGAGACCACACCUCCCCUCACCUGGCUGGGAUGAUGCAAGGACUAGAGAAAACACAUGUUAGGUGCUUUGCUCAGAGUAGGGAUUCAGGAAAUGGUGGCCCUGGUAAUACUGCCUGUGGUCAUCAGGAGAGGAACUUGGGGCCCAAGGAACCCCUGUGGGCUGGAUGGCUAUAUGUGCGGCUGUUGGUCCCCCAGUUACGGUGGAGACCCCUCAGCAGAAGGAAUGACUCUGGCCUGAGGCUCAGGGCCUGUGUGUGCCGCCCAGCCCACAGGGCUUCCAUUCCCCAAUUUGUGUGUUCCUGGGACAAACUGCAGCCAGAACAGGGUACCUUGCAUGGCCCUCUGCCUGAGACAGGACCCCACAGGCCUGGACUGGAAAGCAAAGGCUUGGAUUGGAUUGAUAUGGCCAAACGUGGGUGUCCAGAGCCUGGCUGGGAGAGGUGGGAGGUCAGCCUGACUGGACUAUGCUGGGCUCUGAGCCACACAGACUUUCUGCUCUUUAUUCUGCAGGAGAAAGGUGGGUGACACAGAGGGUUAAGUAGUGAGUGUGGGGAGGGUGUGUGUGAUCAGGCCUGGGGCUGGCAAAGGCACUGAGCUGCCCUCAUCCCCUCUCAGGCAUGGGGAGCAGCAGCCCCUUCUCACCUUCUCGGCCUGGCAUCCCCACUGGUCCCUAAGAUCCGCCCCCCUGGCACCUGGCAGUGGCCCUGCUUUCCCCCACGUCGGGUUACCAGACCUAGCAAGUAAGAGUCAGGGGCCUGCAAGAGAACACAGCGAAAUUCUUUCUGACAUAAAUCAUAUCAAUGUUUUCUUAGGUCAGUCUCCCAAAGCAAUAUAAAUAAAAGCAAAAAUAAAUUUCUAAUCAAACUCAUAAGCUUUUGCCCUGCAAAAGAAACUGAAAACAAACGGAAGAAACAAGCUCCAGAAUGGGCGAAAAUAUUUGCAAAUGAUGCAACCGACAGGGGUUGAAUUUCCAAGAUAAAGAAGCAGCUCAUACAGCUCAAAAUAAAAAUAGACAGCCCAAUCAAAAAAUGAGCAGAAGACCUAAAUAGACAUUUCUCCAAAGAAGACAUACAGAUGGCCAACAAGUCAAUGGAAAGAUGUUCAGUAUCACUAAUUAUUAGAGAAAUGCAAAUCAAAACUACAACGAGGCGUCACCUCACACCAUUCAGAAUGGCCACCACCAAAACAUCUACAAAUAAUAAAUACUGGAGAGGGUGUGCAGAAAAGGGAACCCUCCUACGCUGUUGAUGGGAAUAUAAAUUGGUGCGGCCACUGUGGAGCACAGUAUGGAAGUUCCUUAACAAACUGAAUAUAGAGUUUCCGUAUGAUCCAGCUAUCUCACUCCUGGGCAUACAUAUCUGGAGGAAAUUCCCAUUUAAAAAGAUACAGGCACCUCAAUGUCGAUGCUGCCGCUACUGCUAAGUCGCUUCAUCGUGUCCAACUCUUAGCGACCCCAUGGACUGCAGCCUACCAGGCUCCUCCAUCCACAGCAUUUUCCAGGCAAGAGUACUGGAGUGGGUCGCCAUUGCCUUCUCCAGCAAUGUCUAUAGCAGCACUAUUUACAAUAGCCAAGACAUGGAAGCAACCUACGCGUCCAUCGACAGAUGAACAGAUAAAGAAGAUGUGAUAUAUAUACUACUCACUCAAUCAUAAACAAAUGAAAUAAUGCAUUCUAUACCAGUGUGGAUGAACCUAGAGAUUACCAUACUAAGAGAAGUAAGCAAGACAAAUAUCAUAUGUUAUCACUUAUGAGUGGAAUCUAAAAAAUAAAAAACAAUACCGAUGAACUUGGGACAAGACAGGAACAGACUCACAGACAUAGGUUACCAAAGGGGAACUAGAGGAGGGAAAAAUUAGGAGUUGGGGGGUAGCAGAGACACACUACUAUAUAUAAUAUAGAUGAAGAACAAGGUCCUAUUGUAUAUGCAGAAAAUUAUAUUCAAUAUCCUGUCAUAAGCCAUAAUGGAAAAAAACGUGUAACUGAAUCCCUUUGCUGUAUACCUGAAACUAACAUAAUAUUUUGAAUCAGCUAUAUUUCAAUAAAAAUAAAUAAAAGUCCUGGUGAAAUUGACCUUGAGGUAACUAACUUUUUAGUAUAAGUAUGUCCCAUGCAAUUUGGGGGAUGUACUUACAACUAAAAAAAUUAUCAGUUUUGUCAACUUUGAUUACCUGGUGUCUUCCAUUGCCUCUGGCACCCUGUAGCUCCAGGUCAGAGUGCAUCCAGGCCCGUGAAGCCGGGGCUCCCACCCAGGGGGCUGCCCACCUGCCCCCGGGCCUCUGACCUUUCUGCUUCCCCCCAGAAGCUGCUCCCACUUCACAGGCCUCCUCGCACCUGACCUGGGCCCUGUCCUUCUCCAGCCACAGCCGGUGCCCGGGAAGGCAGGGCAGAGGGCCGAGGGAGGAGAUGAGCCCUUCUUGGGGGCAUCUCUCAGGAUCUCCGUCCACCUUGCUGGGGGGUGGCGGUGCCUGUGGUGAGCCCUGGAUUUCUACCCACAUGGGCCCAAGCUGUGCCCAGGCCUCUGACUCCCCAUCUGUGAAAUGGGCAGAGAUGCAUUGCCUUGCACACUCCUGGGUCCUUCACUUGCUCAGCCCUCACCUGCUCUGUGCUGGAUACACUGGUCUAGACACAGGGCCAUAGCACUUGGCAAGACACACAAGGUUCUUGCCCUCUUCGGGCCAACAUUCCAGUUGUAGAUGGAUGGUGUAAUGUUUAGUCUCUAAGUUGUGUCUGACUCUCUGCGAUCCCAUGGACUGUAGCCCACCAGGCUUCUCUCUCCAUGGGAUUUCCCAGGCAAGAACACUGGAGUGGGUUGCCAUGCCCUCCUCCAGGGGAUCUUGCCGACCCAGGGAUCGAACCCUUGUCUCCUGCAUUGCCAGGUUGAUUCUUUACCACUGAGCCACCAGGGAAAACUGUAGAUGGAUAAAAACAACCAAAUUAAAAAAAAAAAAACAAAGGCACAAAAGUUGUCUGAAAAGUCCACUCAAUGCCCCAAACAAAUGUCCCUGUCCAGCCUGGGAAGGCACUAUGGAGCCGCUGAAAUGGGGUAAGACUGGAUGGAGAUGUUCUGUCAGCAUCAGAUACACACCGGGGUUUAAAGGAUUAGUAGGCAAAAAGGAUGUAACGUAUUUUCUCAUAAUUUUGAAACUUCUCCCAUACUGAAAUGAUUGUGUAUUGGGUUAAAGUGCAAUUAAAAUCAACUUGCCCUGAUUUUACUUUUCUAGAUGUGGCUAGGAGCAUACUUCCUAUGACGCAUGUGGCUUGCAUUACAUUUCUGUUCUACAGCGUGAUCAUCUGGGAAUUCAAAAGGAGGACAGGGAAGUCACUCUGAACUGAGCCUCAGCAUUGAAAAGAAUUUUUAUGCCCAGGUUGAAACAAAUGUAAACAGCGUAAUAAACACUUGUGUACUUGUCCUGGUUCAAAAUUCUCAAACCAGCUCUUCCUUUUGUAUUGACCUAUUUCCUUCUUCUGUAUGAUUUUUUCUUUUCCUGGUUGUGCCGGAUGUUUGUUUCAUCAUGAAGGCAGGCUUAGUUGCCCCGCAGCUUGUGGGAUCUUAGUUCCCUGACCAGGAAUUGAACCCAUGUCCGCUACAUUGGAAGGCAGAGUCUUUAUCACCAGACCACCAGAGAAAGUCCCCUUCUUCUGUAUGAUUUUGAAGCAAACCCCAGCAUCUUAUCGUUUCACUUUAAUACUUUGAUGCAUAGCUCUGAAAAUGGACUCUUGGAAAAACAAAAUCACAGCAAUCCUGCUCCUAAGUACAGCCUCAAGAGAAC
ensembl:lncRNA